rnacentral:rRNA from 1 species
UCGCUCCUACCGAUUUCGAGUGGUCCGGUGAAUCUUUUGGACUGCGCACGGCUUCGUGCCGCGUCGCGGAAAGUCAGGUAAACCUUAUCACUUAGAGGAAGGAG